rnacentral:tRNA from 1 species
UGCCAAGAUGAGUCGCACGACUCCAUAAACA